GACGAACGCUGGCGGCGUGCUUAACACAUGCAAGUCGAACGAAGAGCGAUGGAAGCUUGCUUCUAUCAAUCUUAGUGGCGAACGGGUGAGUAACGCGUAAUCAACCUGCCCUUCAGAGGGGGACAACAGUUGGAAGCGACUGCUAAUACCGCAUACGAUCUAAUCUCGGCAUCGAGGAUAGAUGAAAGGUGGCCUCUACAUGUAAGCUAUCACUGAAGGAGGGGAUUGCGUCUGAUUAGCUAGUUGGAGGGGUAACGGCCCACCAAGGCGAUGAUCAGUAGCCGGUCUGGUAGGAUGGACGGCCACAUUGGGACUGGGACACGGCCCAGACUCCUACGGGAGGCAGCAGUGGGGAAUCUUCCGCAAUGGACGAAAGUCUGACGGAGCAACGCCGCGUGAGUGAUGACGGCCUUCGGGUUGUAAAGCUCUGUUAAUCGGGACGAAAGGCCUUCUUGCGAAUAGUGAGAAGGAUUGACGGUACCGGAAUAGAAAGCCACGGCUAACUACGUG
rnacentral:rRNA from 1 species